UUUGAAGGUGGAACCAGGGAUUCCUCAAUUGGCCAAUCACUUGAGAGAGUAGAAGGAGCUGUCACCCCAUCAAACCAAUCAGAAGCCAGGUGUUGGUUCCCACCCUAUGACAUACCACCUCCAAUUGGCCAGUAGAAGUAGAGAGACAGGCUAGGAGGCGGGGCCUGCCUGGCCGCCAUGGUAAUCCCCUGUGGUUGGUGAUCAAGGAAGAGCAUAGUGCCAGACCUAGGUCCAGUCACUCCACGCUUGCAGAGUCCAAUUAACAAGAGCAAGUUCUGGUAGAAAGAAGGUGACUUUAUUCCAGAGCUCAGGUGUUUGAACUGAUGUCUGAUGAGGAUGAAUCCAGCGACUACCUCUGCCUGUCCAUCCUGGGCCUCUUCUGUUGCCUUCCCCUAGCCAUCCCAGCCGUGAUCUUUUCUUGCCUGACAAAGAACUACAAUAAAUCCAGUGACUAUGAGCUGGCAGCCAAGACCUCCAAACAAGCCUACUACUGGGCCAUCGCGAGCAUCACUGUGGGAAUCUUAGGUACCAUCUUGUACACCUACCUGAUAUACUUACUUAGAUUGUAAACUGCUUCCCAGCUCUUGAACAAACCACCAAAUAUACACCACAGUGCAAUUUACCUUGGCUCUAAGCAUCUACUUGGGCUGAAUGGAACACCUGCUCCUCAAUGUCUGGAGUGCCAAGCUAUCUAAGAUUAGAAAAACAAAAUGCAAAG
rnacentral:lncRNA from 1 species